UAUUCCUCCCACAGCCCGGGCGGAGGUGCAGCCUGGGCGCCAGGACUGCGGCGGGGCAAAGCGGCGUUGCCUGGCCUCGCUUGCUCCAUCUCUCCCGGAGGCCGAGGGAGGCGGUGCCGUCCCGGGAAUGUUGCAGGCGGAGGAGUGAUUACUUCUGCCCGGAAGAACGAAAAACAGAGCAGUAAAAGCUGCCGCCUCGCUGCGCCUUUCCGCCGCCGUAGCCGUUUGAUUCCAUACCUUCAACCGCGCCACGGAGACGCUUGACUUGCCAGAAUGCUGCCUCUGAGGGGCUGUGAGUCCUCGCCUAAGAGUCCUCCUGAGUCGGUCAGCGACAGUGUCGAGGACAAGCUUUCACAAGCCGAAGAGCCGGACAGCGAGGACUAUAUGUAUACUGUGUGUUCCUAUUAAGACUGUAUGCAUACUUCAGAUGACAACAGUGACUUGCACACUCUACUGAUUUUUUCGUGAGAACAGCUGUUGACUUCAAACACCUUCAAAAAAGCUAAUCUGAACCUACAAGCUGUAAUAGCCAGGUAAGUAUCUUGAAGAUUUGUAGGGUAUCUUUCCUGUAGGUUGAGACAGAAUUAUAGGAAAAAGUCCCCAGAAUUAAAAGGACAAAACCAUCUGAAUAGCAGUCCAUAAGGAAAUAAGAUAAAAUGGGCAAUUAAGUUUAUUGCAUCAAUAAAAAUUAAACAUUUUCUGCUUCAGUAUGGUAGCUUCUGUGUCCUCUAAAUAUGACAUGCAGCAGCAUGGUGGUAAAAUGCAGAGAUUAUCAAGUGAGAGGAACAUUGCCUGAUGAAUGCUUUGGGAAACAUUUUAACAACCUUCAAUAACCUAAUACAUCCAUUACCCUCUCAUACCUAUGUUCUCUAUUACAAAUGCUAACUCAUAUUCUCUUUUUCUGUUCAGAUUACUCUUCUGAUUUAAACCUAAGUCACAAGAUGUAGUAUGUGAAUUUGAUGGACAGAUGCAUAAUUGAAAGGACACUAGCUCCUGUAGGUAUCAAAUAGAAAAGCACAGCUUUUUUAAUUCAUUCCUAAAAUGUAUACAACACAAAAGAGAGCUCUGUAUUAUUUCCUUAGAAAAUUUAAAGCUUGAAAUGAUGUGUUGUUAGUGUUUCUCAUGUACUGAUGUUUUUGUAGGACUAAAGGCUGUGUGGAAUAGAACAAAUCUGAGAUGAGAAACUAUGACAAAAUAAGUAAAUUUUUCCUACACUAAAUUCUUAAUUACUACAGAAAAUGGUAAGGGGAUUUAUUAGUUGAAACUCUGAUAAUGGGUUGCAAAAACAGUAAUCUGAUAAUCACGUGAUAAUUGGAUAUUUUCUAGGGGACUUUUUUUACAACAACAAGGUCUUUUGAUGUGUCAGUUUCAAGGUACUUAAUCACCUCCUAUUCUUCACAGGAGAUGCCUAACCUGGGUUGUAGAAAGAGAUUAAAUAAUAUUUGUAUAUGUCAUUUAAUCAUAUAUAGACGGGUGUCAUUUAAAAAAAAAUUAAUGUGAAUUUUUGUGCUCCUGAAUUGGGAUCUUUUGUGAUACAUAGCUAUGUGUCUAGCAGUGCUCCAAUAAUACAACGUGGAAUCCCACAUUAAGCAGCAGUAUCCAAAUUCUGAAGAUAUGUGUGAUAAGUCUGCAAAACUCUAUCAUAAGCCUUCUAAAUGGGAUUCAGAUGUUUUAGCAUCUGAGCAGGUUUGAUUGAAACAUAUUGAAACAAACAAAGUGUUUACUCUAAACCCCACAGAAAUCCUGGGGAAAAUGUCUCAAAUUACAUUCUUACACACAGAAUGCCAAAAUUCCAUACUUAACUGAAAGAUAACUUAUUUCUAAAGGGUUGAUCUGAUCCUAGCAGAUUUAUUUGAAAAAAUAAAAGAAGUAGUUAAAAGUGAAUAUAUGCCCCUCCUUUUUAAUAGUCCUUAAGUACACCAGUUAACAGAUUAAAAAAGAUAAAUGUGGCAUCAUGGUACCAUCUGCAAAAGAUAACUGUAUACUUGCAAAAGUCACUGGUUAUGACAGAUAAUUAAGAAUAAAGGUCUGUUUAAAUUCAGUCUAUAGCAGUCAUUAAGGUAUUUCUUUGGGAAAGGGUAUUGAGUAAAAGACUGUUCUUUUGCCAGUCUAGAUUUUUCUAAUUGUCAGCAACACCAGCCCACACAUGCCUGCCAUCUCAUUCCUUGCUUUUUUUUUUUAACUUCAGUGCUUGUGAGACCAUCUCCUUAGUCAUUUCUGCAAGUUCAGUCUGCAAAAAACUGACCUGGCAAAAGAGCAAGUAAUUUCUGCUGACUUACUGUGCUGAGUUUCCCCUGAGAACUACAGCUGCUGCAAGGGAGAUAUAGAGAGUCAGGAGCUGGACGGUUUUAUGUUGCAAGGUAUUUCAGAUUGCUCACAAAUAUUCAGAUUGCUCUUUGCUGAGCAAUUUUCUUAACUUUAAACUCAAGUAAUCCCAUUUCAUUCUUCUUCAAGUUCAGAUAACAAGCAAUUCUAUCACUGGAAGUAUUGUUCUAUUACUGGAAGUAUCUCAAGUAUCUUAGUCCCUACUGAUGGCUGAAGUCUUUAGCCUUCAGCCUACUGAUGCAUAAAGUCUUUAGCCAAUCUAAUCUAAUUUUUUAAAUGCUGUCUAAGAUUGUAGCUUUCUGGAAGUGACAAAAAAGCAUGGGCAUAAAUUAUGAAUAUGGCUUUCAAUACAUUUUCCUGCACAUUCAAAUCGAAAUAUUUUAGGACAGACAUAUGAAUAUGCUAGCAGCUAGUUCUUUCAAUCCAGUUAUCCAACACAAAUAUUAAAAGAUAUAGAAAAGUGUAACAUAAAAACCAACUUUUAAAUGUUGGUUCAAUUUUUUUUUGGGAAGGAAGUUUUUCAUAUUUGAAUUUUUCUUUACUUCAUCAUCAUGCUGUUAAAACACUGUUGAAUAUUCCUAUUAUUCCACCUGGAUAAUAUUUGACAUUGAGGGAAUUCUUUUAAAAAUAAAUUUAAAAGAACUGGUAAUAGAGUAAAAAAAGCUAAGAAUAAAGGAGCACUGAUCAUGUAACAGGAGUUACUCUCCAGAGCUUAUGUACAAACUACUGUUCUUUGCACACAGUUUACAGAAUGUUGCAUUUAGUAAUAUUUGCAGUUUCUACUCCUACUCAUAAAAAUCAAAAUACUACUGUUGAUGUUAAAGUUGUCAGGGAGUAUAUCAUGCACAGUUACACAGAUAAUAAUUUUUAGUUCAGAAGUAUUUUGAUCUUUACUUCAAUACAAGUGUUACAAAACACAGCACAUUUCCUGACAGUGAAAAUUGUGGCAACCCAUUAUACUUGCAACCUACAAAAUGAGAAGCAGUUGUGCAAAGUAAGUUCAUUAUAGUCCUGUGAUUUGAACCCUAAAAGCUUUAAUCUAAAUAAAAGAGGUGAUCAGAGCA